AAGGCCCUUCGGGGUACACGAGCGGCGAACGGGUGAGUAACACGUGGGUGAUCUGCCCUGCACUUCGGGAUAAGCCUGGGAAACUGGGUCUAAUACCGGAUAUGACCUUCGGCUGCAUGGCUGAGGGUGGAAAGGUUUACUGGUGCAGGAUGAGCCCGCGGCCUAUCAGCUUGUUGGUGGGGUAAUGGCCUACCAAGGCGACGACGGGUAGCCGACCUGAGAGGGUGACCGGCCACACUGGGACUGAGACACGGCCCAGACUCCUACGGGAGGCAGCAGUGGGGAAUAUUGCACAAUGGGCGAAAGCCUGAUGCAGCGACGCCGCGUGAGGGAUGACGGCCUUCGGGUUGUAAACCUCUUUCAGCAGGGACGAAGCGAAAGUGACGGUACCUGCAGAAGAAGCACCGGCUAACUACGUGCCAGCAGCCGCGGUAAUACGUAGGGUGCAAGCGUUGUCCGGAAUUACUGGGCGUAAAGAGUUCGUAGGCGGUUUGUCGCGUCGUUUGUGAAAACUCACAGCUCAACUNUGAGCUUGCAGGCGAUACGGGCAGACUUGAGUACUGCAGGGGAGACUGGAAUUCCUGGUGUAGCGGUGAAAUGCGCAGAUAUCAGGAGGAACACCGGUGGCGAAGGCGGGUCUCUGGGCAGUAACUGACGCUGAGGAACGAAAGCGUGGGUAGCAAACAGGAUUAGAUACCCUGGUAGUCCACGCCGUAAACGGUGGGCGCUAGGUGUGGGUUCCUUCCACG
rnacentral:rRNA from 1 species